CUCUCACUGCCCCACUUUCCUUUCAUCUUAUUUGUAUCAGCAAGGGUUCAAGGCAACUUCUGCCAGAGCCGGUUCUCCUGUUUCCACUCUUCUCCCUCAAGAACUGCUGCUUAUGCUUUGGCUAUGUUUUGGUGUUAAAAACAUGUAUCUGUAGACAGACUGCUUAUGUAGGAGCCUCCAUUUGUCUGCUGACUUGAGAGACAGCCUGUAUGUCCAUUGCGUGGGCCACACGGGACAAGGAAAGAGGCAGUAUGCAUAAGCCUGCAAAGCUCAAGGAAAAGACUGCAUGAUUCAAAGAGAUUACAAGACAAUACCUGGAAAUGGAAAGCAAGGAAGUAUAAAGUAACAAGUAUUACAGAGAUGACAGAGGACACUAGAAGCACCAGCAAAUAAAGCAAGUAUAGGGCCGGGGAUUUAGCUCAGUGGUGCCACCGCCUGCCUCGCAAGAGCAAGGUCCCCAGUUCGAUCCAAUACCAAAAACAAAACAAAACAAAAAAAAGAGCAAAGAUCCCUAAGUCCUUUCCUCUUGGCCUCUCAAUUCAAUCUCACAAUGAGGAAAGAGAAAAGACAUAGAAAUUAUUAGGGAGAAUAUAUGAAUAUAUGACACAGCGAUCCAACAUAUAGGCAGAUGAAACCCUGGAGGUGGGUUUCAAAUCAUGAGUCCACCUCCUACCAAUUGUGCCUUGUUACCAAAGAUGAUGCACCUUGCUGUGAUUCUUUCGUUAUUAGGAAAGUUA
ensembl:lncRNA